GGUAAAAAAGCUCGUAGUUGGAUUUCUGUUGGGGGGGACCGGUCUGUGCCACGCACAUGCAUCUGGCUCCGCCUCGGCAUCCUCUCGAUUUGGAUUCCUGUGCUUGAUUGCAUGGGGUUUGUAUCGGGACUUUUACUUUGAGGAAAUUAGAGUGUUCACGGCAGGCUAUCGCCAGAAUACAUUAGCAUGGAAUAAUACUAUAGGAUCUCGAUUCUAUUUUGUUGGUUUCUAGAAGCGAGAUAAUGAUUAAUAGGGACAAUUGGGGGCAUUCGUAUCAACACGUCAGAGGUGGAAUUCUUGGAUUGUGUUGCGACGAACUACUGCGAAAGCAUUUGCCAAGGAUGUUUUCAUUGAUCAAGAACGAAAGUAAGGGGAUCGAAGACGAUUAGAUACCGUCGUAGUCUUUACCAUAAACUAUGCCAACUAGAGAUGGGGCAUCGUUCACUUACGACUUGCUCCGCACCUUAUGAGAUAUCAAAGUUUUUGGGUUCCGGGGGGAGUAUGGUCGCAAGGCUGAAACUUAAAGGAAUUGACGGAAGGGCACCACCAGGAGUGGAGCCUGCGGCUUAAUUUGACUCAACACGGGGAAACUCACCAGGUCCAGACAUAAUAAGGAUUGACAGAUUGAUAGCUCUUUCUUGAUUUUAUGGGUGGUGGUGCAUGGCCGUUCUUAGUUCGUGGAGUGAUUUGUCUGCUUAAUUGCGUUAACGA
rnacentral:rRNA from 1 species